GGGGGAUAUUGCACAAUGGGCGAAAGCCUGAUGCAGCGACGCCGCGUGUAGGAAGACGGUCCUCUGGAUUGUAAACUACUGUCUUCAGGGACGAAAAUGACGGUACCUGAGGAGGAAGCUCCGGCUAACUACGUGCCAGCAGCCGCGGUAAUACGUAGGGAGCGAGCGUUGUCCGGAAUUACUGGGUGUAAAGGGAGCGUAGGCGGGUAUGCAAGUAUGUUGUUAAAACUAUCGGCUCAACCGGUAGAUGCGGCAUAAACUGCAUAUCUUGAGUGAAGUAGAGGCAGGCGGAAUUCCCAGUGUAGCGGUGAAAUGCGUAGAUAUUGGGAGGAACACCAGUGGCGAAGGCGGCCUGCUGGGCUUUUACUGACGCUGAGGCUCGAAAGUGUGGGGAGCAAAC
rnacentral:rRNA from 1 species